rnacentral:rRNA from 1 species
AUUGAACGCUGGCGGCAGGCUUAACACAUGCAAGUCGAGCGGAGCGGCGGACGGGUGAGUAAUGUAUAGCUAAUCUGCCCUACACUGGAGGACCACAGUUGGAACCGUCUCCUAAUACUCUAUAGUGUCGGAUGAGGCUAUAUUGUAUCAGCUAGUUGGUGAGGUAAUGGCUCACCAAGGCUAUGAUGCGUAACUGUUCUAAGAGGAUGAUCAGUCAAAGUGGAACGGAGGCACGGUCAGGAAUCAUACGGGAGGGAGCAGUAGGGAGUAUGGGUCAAUGGGGGAAACCCUGAAGCGGCUACGGCGCGUGGAGGAUGACACGUAGCGGAGCGUAAAGUCCGUUUGUUAGGGAAGCGGUACCUAACGAAUAAGCACCGGCUAACUCCGUGCCAGCAGCCGCGGUAAUAC